GCACCCAUGAGCUAGCGGCCAAGGCUACGCGGCUUUCAAUCGCGUCAUCGCCGGUUCGAAUCCGGCUGGGUGCACCA
rnacentral:tRNA from 1 species